CAAAAGCCCUAGUGACAUAGCAGCUCUAUCCGGUAACGGGUACUGAAAAAUCGGGUGAAUUCAAGGAAACCGCAGCACUUCGGGUGGCGACAAUCUUGAGCCAAGUCUGGCGAAAGGCAGCGGUUGCGAUCGCAAGUAGCCGGAAAGGUGCAGAGACUAGAGAUGAGGAGCCUAACCAAUAAAUCUCACAGCGCCCGACAUCCGACGACAGAUCGCACAAAUGAUUUGUAGGGAUGAUGAAAUAGUCCGCCCCCUUCGGAAACGUUGGG
rnacentral:ncRNA from 1 species